GAUGAAUGCUGGCGGCGUGCCUAACACAUGCAAGUCGAGCGGCAGCGAGUUUUACACUGAAUUCUGGAAGCUUCUGAGUAGUGCAGAAGAUUUAUUCAAGAGUUUUGUGUAAAAUGUCGGCGAGCGGCGGACGGCUGAGUAACGCGUAGGAAUUUGCCCCAAAGUGAGGAAUAACUGCCCGAAAGGGUAGCUAAUGCCGCAUAUGGUCUUCGGAUUAAAGCCUUCGGGCGCUUUGGGAGAAGCCUGCGUUGGAUUAGGUAGUUGGUAGGGUAAUGGCCUACCAAGCCGACGAUCCAUAGCUGGUCUGAGAGGAUGAUCAGCCAGACUGGAACUGAGACACGGUCCAGACUCCUACGGGAGGCAGCAGUGAGGAAUCUUCCACAAUGGGCGAAAGCCUGAUGGAGCAACGCCGCGUGAAGGAUGAAGGCCUUCGGGUUGUAAACUUCUUUUAUGAGUGAAGAAUAUGACGGUAACUCAUGAAUAAGCACCGGCUAACUACGUG
rnacentral:rRNA from 1 species